CUCUGCUGACCUCCUGUUCCUCUGCCUUUGCUUUUCAGCGGCACAGAGCCGAGAGCUGGGUGAGUCCUUGCAGUCCCUGCCCCCAGCCAUUGGGGAAGUGGUGUCCCUGCGGGAGGGACUGUGCUGGGUGGGCUGUGGGGGCUUGUGUGCUGGUGGCUCGGGGGUGCUGGAGGAGUAGCUGGAGCCUGACGGGGGAGUGGGGAGUGCUGGGGCUGCCCUGGGCACGGGACACGGCCAGGAUGGCUGAAAGGAACGGGGAUCAAGGUGGGGACGGGGAGCGAGCUGCGGGGCUGCCCUGCUCUGCACUGACGCUUCUGCGACAGGGACGUCCUCCACCCGUCCCCAUUCCCUUCCACUUGUGUUUUGGUGACACAGUGCAGAGAGCUGCACAAGUGUCUGUCCUUAAUGCUCCAUGUGCAUGAGCCUUGCUCAAAGCAGGGUCUUGCUCCCUGUUAUUCCGGUCCCUCCCAGUCUGGGAACAAGGUGGCCUGUGCCCACUCAACACUGUACAGAUUUUGAUGUCUUCUUUUGGUGUCUUCUUUUGGUGUCAUGGGAGCCACCAUGAGAUGAGAACAGAAAUCUAUGAUCACGUAUUGCAUUUAUUUUCCUUUUCUAGUGAAAAAAGAUGCAGAGCUGGGUAAGUCUCCUUUAAUAUAUCCAAAGAUUUGGUGUCUUCCCAUGGGAGCUGUGAAGGGUCAGUAGGUGUCCCUUCUCAUCAUGUUAUGCUCUCUUCUCUUCCUUUUCCCGUGGAACAAGCUCAACAGCUUGAGGAAAAAGAGGAAAUGCUGGGUGAGUCUGAAGGAAUUUGAGCUUACCCUUGUCAGUAACCUUGCUAUGAGGAGCUCUCUCCUCUCAUCAUGCAUUGCUUUUCUUUCUCUUGCAGCUUCAACAGCUACAGAGCUGGAGAAAAAAGAUGCAAAGCUGGAGAAACAAGCUGCAGAGCUGGGUGAGUGUCCCU
rnacentral:lncRNA from 1 species